UCCUUGGUGGCUCAGACAGUAAAGCAUCUGCCUGCAAUGCGGGAGACCUGGGUUCGAUUCCUGGGUCGGGAA
rnacentral:tRNA from 1 species